GGAGGAAGGCCCUCCGAAGCCGACUUGCAGGAGUAGGCUUUAAACAACCCUAAGCGGCAUGGAUCAAAAGUCCUUGUCGUGAGCGUUAGGGAAAAGGCUGCAUUUAGCAGUCAUG
rnacentral:ncRNA from 1 species